rnacentral:rRNA from 1 species
AUUGAACGCUGGCGGCAGGCCUAACACAUGCAAGUCGAGCGGAUGAAGGGAGCUUGCUCCUGGAUUCAGCGGCGGACGGGUGAGUAAUGCCUAGGAAUCUGCCUGGUAGUGGGGGAUAACGUCCGGAAACGGGCGCUAAUACCGCAUACGUCCUGAGGGAGAAAGUGGGGGAUCUUCGGACCUCACGCUAUCAGAUGAGCCUAGGUCGGAUUAGCUAGUUGGUGGGGUAAAGGCCUACCAAGGCGACGAUCCGUAACUGGUCUGAGAGGAUGAUCUGUCACACUGGAACUGAGACACGGUCCAGACUCCUACGGGAGGCAGCAGUGGGGAAUAUUGGACAAUGGGCGAAAGCCUGAUCCAGCCAUGCCGCGUGUGUGAAGAAGGUCUUCGGAUUGUAAAGCACUUUAAGUUGGGAGGAAGGGCAGUAAGUUAAUACCUUGCUGUUUUGACGUUACCAACAGAAUAAGCACCGCCUAACUUCGUG